UGAAUUGGGGUCUUUUAUGGACAUAAUC
rnacentral:sRNA from 1 species